rnacentral:rRNA from 1 species
AGCGAACGCUGGCGGCAUGCUUAACACAUGCAAGUCGCACGGUCAGCAAUGGCAGUGGCGGACGGGUGAGUAACACGUAGGGAAUCUAUCCUGGGGUGGGGGACAACAGCGGGGAAACUGCUGCUAAUACCGCAUGAUGCCUGAGGGCCAAAGACGAAAGUCGUUUGAGGAGGAGCCUGCGUCUGAUUAGGUAGUUGGUGGGGUAAAGGCCUACCAAGCCCUGCGAUCAGUAGCUGGUCUGAGAGGAUGAUCAGCCACAUUGGGACUGAGACACGGCCCAAACUCCUACGGGAGGCAGCAGUGGGGAAUAUUGGACAAUGGGCGCAAGCCUGAUCCAGCAAUGCCGCGUGGGUGAAGAAGGUCUUCGGAUUGUAAAGCCCUUUUGGCGGGGACGAUGAUGACGGUACCCGCAGAAUAAGCUCCGGCUAACUUCGUG